GAUGAACGCUGGCGGCGUGCUUAACACAUGCAAGUCGAACGGAAAGGCCCAAGCUUGCUUGGGUACUCGAGUGGCGAACGGGUGAGUAACACGUGGGUGAUCUGCCCUGCACUUCGGGAUAAGCCUGGGAAACUGGGUCUAAUACCGGAUAGGACCACUUCUUGGAUGUUGUGGUGGAAAGUUUUUUCGGUGUGGGAUGAGCUCGCGGCCUAUCAGCUUGUUGGUGGGGUAAUGGCCUACAAAGGCGUCGACGGGUAGCCGGCCUGAGAGGGUGUACGGCCACACUGGGUCUGAGAGACGGCACAGACGCCUACGGGAGGCAGCAGUGGGGAAUAUUGAACAAGGGGCGCAAGCCUGAUGCAGCGACGCCGCGUGGGGGAUGACGGCCUUCGGGUUGUAAACUCCUUUCGCUAGGGACGAAGCGUUUUGUGACGGUACCUGGAGAAGAAGCACCGGCUAACUACGUG
rnacentral:rRNA from 1 species